rnacentral:lncRNA from 1 species
AUUGACAUCUCCUAUUCGUCCUCAUAAUACACAUCAACCACUGAGAACACACUAAUUUUUUAUAAUUCUUCAUUGACUUACGUAUAUCAAACUGUACCACCUCAUCAUUUAUCCUGACUAAGAGCUCAUUCGCUCUCAAAUCAAUCAACACACUUUCGGUUGUUAGAAAAGGUCAACCCAAGAUUAUGGGUAUCUCAAAGUCCACCUCGCAGUCUUGAAUCACAAAAUCUGAAAGG